rnacentral:rRNA from 1 species
GGGAGCUUGUACAGGUGCUGCAUGGCUGUCGUCAGCUCGUGUCGUGAGAUGUCGGUUAAGUCCGCUAACGAGCGCAACCCUCGCUGUGUGUUACAAGUGUCACACGGAACUGCCGGGUCAUAAACCGGAGGAAGGUGGGGAUGACGUCAAGUCAGCAUGGCCUUUAUAUCCUGGGCUACACACACGCUACAAUGGGAAGGGACAAUAGGUUGCGAAGCCGCGAGCGGAGCCAAUCCAGCAAAACUUCCCUCAGUUCAGAUUGCAGGCUGCAACCCGCCUGCAUGAAGUUGGAGUUGCUAGUAAACGCAGGUCAGCCAUACUGCGUUGAAUACGUUCCCGGGGCUU